CGGGGUGAGUAAUGUCUGGGAAACUGCCUGAUGGAGGGGGAUAACUGCUGGAAACGGUAGCUAAUACCGCAUAACGUCGCAAGACCAAAGAGGGGGACCUUCGGGCCUCUUGCCAUCGGAUGUGCCCAGAUGGGAUUAGCCAGUAGGUGGGGUAACGGCUCACCUAGGCGACGAUCCCUAGCUGGUCUGAGAGGAUGACCAGCCACACUGGAACUGAGACACGGUCCAG
rnacentral:rRNA from 1 species